UCUAAGUGUAGUAUUAGGUUUUCAUGUCUAACGUUUAACCGCCAGUCUUAUUUAUAUUUUUUAUGAUUAGUACUUUUAUUAUUAUUUAGAUGAUAAAACAUAAGUAGCAUUAUAUGUGUGACUUAUUUUUAAUUUUUUUUAUAAUUUUUUUUAAAUAAGACGGACGGUCAAACGUUGAAUACGGAAUCUCACCGCUGCACUUAAA
rfam:Oryza meridionalis cultivar OR44 (W2112) chromosome 2, whole genome shotgun sequence.